GGGGGGUGCUGGAGCCUAUCCCAGCCGUCUCCGGGCAGUAGGCGGGGGACACCCUGAAUCGGUUGCCAGCUAAUCGCAGGGCACACAGAGACGAACAACCAUCCACGCUCACACUCACACCUAGGGACAAUUUUAGAGCGGUGUUCAAUCAGCCUGCCAUGCAUGUUUUUUGGAAUGUGGGAGGAAACCGGAGUACCCGGAGAAAACCCACGCAGGCCCGGCGAGAACAUGCAAACUCCACACAGGGAGGCCGGAGCUGGAAUUGAACACACGACCUCUGCACUGUGAGGUCGACGUGCUAACCACUGGACAACCGGGCCGCCCCUUUCAUAACUUGUGCUGCUGUAAAUUGGGAAUUUCUCCAUUGUGAUAUAUAUAUUAUAUAGAUAUAUAUAUAUUUUUUAAUCGUAUCUUAUUACUACGGGGCAUGAGUCUAUCGAAGAGAGAUAAGGGGUGAAAAAAAUAUACAGCGAACAACUUUUGCAAUUUAAUUUCCAUCCAUCCAGACAGUUGCCAUCAAGCCUGGCAGCGGUUUCUCUCUCCUUGAGUCGACUUCAAAGCUAAUUACACACAAUUGCAAGGCGUGUCACUUUAAAUUGCUCCAUAAAGGGGAGUGAACCCCGCAUGCGGAUAAAACGCACGCCUUUGUACUCCAAGUUAAAAGGAAAGGGAAAAAAAUUCAUUAGCCAAUUAUCAAGAAGAAAGAAAAAAAAAAACUAACAAACAUGCUGUGUCAUUCCGACAAUUGAGAAAUGGCAUCAUGGAAGCAAAUGCGAGGCGAGAGAUGUGGCGUUGAGUGAAAUCGGGUAGGUCAGGUGCCAACAAACACAUGCCACCCAACCCCCCUCCCACAUACACACACACACACACACACGCACACUGAGUUUCGUGCUGGCCCAACAUCUGAGCCCAAAGUGGCCCAGAGUCGUAAACGCCUGCAUCCAUAACUUUGCUGACUAAUGACAUGAGCUGGAUGGUCCCGUGGUAGCCGGUCACAGAAUCGGCGUGAAACCACGCCCUCUUACCCCCAGCAAACAAUCAGUAUUUGCCACAAACGCCCAAACCGAGAAUAAACAGAUCACAAGUCAGUCAAAUCCAAAUUGUUCUGUGGACUCUGUGGAAAAUGACGUCAGCCGUUGUCACAUGGGUUGCCGUUCAAUCGCAAGGCACUUACGGAGACGGAGCAUCUGCACGGUUUGGGAAUUGAACUUACGCCGCUUUCCGCGAAAGUCAGACGAGAGAAUCACGAUAUAAAAUAUCGCCGGGCUCUCCAAAAGCGUCACCUUCAGGAAACCAAAGUAAUUGUAUAUUUGUUCAACCAAAACCGUUUUCCAGUCUUUCGAUUGGUCAAUAAUGAGUAGAAUUAACCCCAUCUGGACGUAGGAGGUGCCGCCCGACAGCGGCGGUAUAAUAAAGUUAGAUUUAUUUCGCACGCGGGGAAAAACACUCGUCUUAUGCACUGCUGUUUAAUUUUUUUAAAUUUUGCUUUGAAAGUGAUAAUGACAUUGGGUACCGGACCACUUAAUUUGGGUUGUUCAGGGAGAGUCAAAAGUUUGGUCGGAUUCAUUUCCGGUGCCUCCACCAAGGCUGCUCUUGACCACCGAUGGAGACAAAUUUUUAAGCAUAGCCGAAUACAAGAAGCGAGUUCUCUGAUAAAUUUCAAUCCGCACACAGUUGGAGAGGAAUUCGUUGAACUAUAUUUUGGCAGUUUUGCGGUGGAGGGGACCUGCACUGCAGAGGCGGCACCGGGGUUGCUUAGCACGGCACAUUAGCAACAACGCGACAGCCCAUAAAACACACCACCGGUUUUCUCGACUGCGUUGUGAGCUGCCUAAAUGCGGUCGCACCUCUCUGCUUAAAAUGAACUGGUGUGCGGUGGAGUACAUUAAUGUUCCAGUGUGGUCAAGAUAAUUCAUUAAAAAUUAAUUUAAUUAAUUAUUGGGUGGCGGCCCGGUAGUCCAGUGGUUAGCACGUCGGCUUCACAGUGCAGAGGUACCGGGUUCGAUUCCAGCUCCAGCCUCCCUGUGUGGAGUUUGCAUGUUCUCCCCGGGCCUGCGUGGGUUUUCUCCGGGUGCUCCGGUUUCCUCCCACAUUCCAAAAAUAUGCAUGGCAGGCUGAUUGAACACUCUAAAUUGUCCCUAGGUGUGAGUGUGAGCGUGGAUGGUUGUUUGUCUCUGUGUGCCCUGCGAUUGGCUGGCAACUUAUUCUGGGUGUCCCCCGCCUACUGCCCGGAGACAGCUGGGAUAGGCUCCAGCACCCCCCGUGACCCUAAGUGAGGAUCAAGCGGUUGGGAAGAUGAAUGAUGAAUGAAUAAUUAUUGGGUCCACAUUAUUGGGGGGUGGCCAAGGCUAUCCCAGGGGGUCCAACAAAACCAAAACUUGGAAACACGUUUUACACUUGGGUGACCUGUACGCACGAUCCAGGGCCGCGCAAAGUCCAUCCAAUGGAAAUGAAGCCAACGAAAAAGCCCCUAAGUGGCUGCUACAAGAUGCAAAGAGAAACUGGAUGUCUACGAUGAUCGGAGACCGCAGACCUAUAAUCCUCCAUUCAAACGAAAAUGCGCAUUCUUUGACAACAAGAGACCAAAAGGCAGCAGAGAAAAAAAAAAAAACAACAAGCGGGCGUGGGGGUCGUUGACAAAAGCCAAAAAUCAGCAAAGCAGCUCAACGAUGAGACGCAGAGCGAGAGGGUGCCCAGACAUGCAGACUAUCCGUCUCGUGGGAAUGUGGUAAAGACACACUAGUGGGCAAGAGCCCGGGUUCUGAAAUUAGAGAGUGGCGCUAAGAGAAGGGAGCCCGAGCCAAAGACCGUCUUGAGAGCUGCCAGGAUCUGCCAGGAGCUGCCUCCGCGACGCAUUGCCCCAGCGUGAUUUACUGCGAGGCCGCACUCCGGGCUGCACGCUAUCUAACGUUCGGCGGUGCGCCGCUCUCAUCGCGUGCGAUGGAGUACUGUGACCCCCACGCCCGACGUGAUAAAGGCCAGGUCUGCUCGACAUGGUCAGAAUGUCUGAUCCGGACGAGUGUGUGCCACAAAAACACAGUGUGGAUGUGUUUUAGGACGUGUCAAAAACCGGGAACGGCCACAAACAGAAAAACAACACACACUCGACGAAAUGCUGAAAGAACUUAGACAUUCGUCGCCUUUAAUUUAUUAAUAUCACUAUGACGGUGACGGGGGGGAUAUGGGGGCGGGUGUUGGGGGGGGGGGUUGUCUGUACAUGUUCCUUACGACUGGCUGGUUCAGCUGGGAUAGGCUCGAGUGUUUAUAUAUUUCGCUAUUUUAUAUAUGCCUUAAAAGGAAUUCAAGCCACAAAUGCACUUUGGAAGUUGUCAACUUGGCAACAAACGUUGAAAAGCGAGACCAUCGUAACGAUAUUCCAAGUCGUUGGGGUUGUGACUUUCGAGCCAGUAUGAUGCACUACUCCACUUAUUGUAUUACAAAGUCUGUGCAAUGUUACACAAAAUUCAAUAAACUAAAACUAACUGUUAAACUACUACUAACUAAAAUAAAGGAUUAAAAAAAAAACAACUUCAAAACAAACAACCGACUCUGAAAAACAACUCAAAACCAAAUGUAAAAAAAAAACAAAACUCAAAAUGAAAUCAGUAGACCUUUGGCAGAUUGUGUUUUUUUUUUCCCUCAAAAAUAUGCUUUCAAGAUUUUCCUGUCACUCCCAGUUGACGUCUACUGUCAAAACAAACAUUAAGCGAAGAGAAUCACAUGUUGCGUAAUUCGUCAGCUAGCUUAAUGCUAACAGCACAGAUGAGCUAACGAAUAGCAUCUACAGUACGUGGUCAUAUUUUAAGCAACUGACCAAAAACAGUGGAACAACACAUGUAGACAGACAGUGAAACAAUAGCAAAACUAUAUUAUACAUAUACAGUACCAUAUACUGUAUAUAUCGUUUUUUUAUCCUCUGUGAAAACCAACAACAUUGCUGUGAUUGAAAAAUUCAAUUACAGAAUUAAGAAAGUACUCAAAUUUGAGGUGUGGGCCUAGAAAUAGGAAAUAAGCGGCUGAGUCAACUGUACAGGAAAUGAGCAGAUGUAAACUGGGACAUCAUUUCUGCAAAGAAAAUCAGCAAAUCGUAUGGGCUCGAUUUUACUGCACAAUCAAAAUAUGAUGCCCGCCCUCAGAAAAUGGCAGGUGCAGUCAGGGAACACCGGGGUUUAUUGUGGUAUACGUAGAAGGAAUAAUCACGAUUUAAUUUCCCACCCCGAGGUACAAAGAACCAUUUGCUCUCCCUCUCUACGACGUUCAUGCUAACUUCACCAACAUUCAUUUAAAGCCUGACAAGCUGAACACCCCCACACCCGCCCCUCGCCCCCACCCUCUGGUUGAUGUGCGAACGAGGGUCCAGCUCCAUCGAGGACAAUGACCUCUGUUGUCCGCAUGGAAGCGGGACCGCGGCAAGAAACUCCCCUUCGCUGCCAGACUUGUGCAAAAAAAGCAGGGCAGCAAAAACAAAAGCCGAGCAGGAGCACGACAGGAAAACGCGGGAUUUCAAAAUCCGGACAAACAGGAGGAAGUGCAAGGUGGUUGCGCCGUGCGGCUCUGGAAGGCCAAGUCUAGACAUGCCGGGAAGGUUCUGUAUGUGCUUGUCUGCAGCGCGGGUCAGCGAGAGUACUGAUGCCGUGUUCCAGCAUUUCAGCGAAUACGUGUGUGUGUGUGUGUGUGUGUGUGUGUGUGUGUGCGUGUGUGUGUGUGUGUGUUUCCUUUGCCAAGUUUCCUCUCUUUGUUUAGAGCGGCCUGGUUAGUCUGGCUCCCCGCUGCGCAUGCUAUGGCCAAACACACACACACACACAUACACGUAUAUCGAUCAAAACACAUCACAACAACAGGCAGGAUGCUCACAUGGAAAAGAGACGCUGGGAAGAGGAGCCAAACGGGUAUGGUGGAAAAACAGGGGACAUCCAUUUGGGAAUAAAUCACAAAAAGGGGGAUGGCAGCGGAUUGGCAAGGGGCCAUGAAGCCCUUUGAGCUCAAACAAUCGGGGGCUGUGGCCUUCACGGCAAUGAUGGGGGAUUUGGGGGGGAGCAGAGGGGGGAGUUGACGCGGGCAUGCACCUGACGUGUCGUUGUCUCUGCAACGUUGAGUUGUUUUAUUCAAGAGUGGCAUAUUCUCACUUUUUCAUUCAUUCAUCUUCCCAGCCGCUUGAUCCUCACUAGGGUCGCGGGGGGUGCUGGAUCCUAUCCCAGCCGUCUCCGGGCAGUAGGCGGGGGACACCCUGGAUCAGUUGCCAGCCAAUCGCAGGGCACACAGAAACAAACAACCAUUCGCACUCACACUCACACCUAGGGACAAUUUUGAGUGUUCAAUCAGCCUGCCAUGCAUGUUUUUGGAAUGUGGGAGGAAACCGGAGCACCCGGAGAAAACCCACGCAGGCCCGGGGAAAACAUGCAAACUCCACACAGGGAGGCCGGAGCUGAAAUCGAACCCGGUACCUCUGCACUGUGAAGCCGACGUGCUAACCACUGGACUACCGGGCCGCCCUAUUCUCACUUUUUUUUUUUU